rnacentral:misc_RNA from 1 species
GAUGAAGAACGUAGCGAAAUGCGAUAAGUAAUGUGAAUUGCAGAAUUCAGUAAAUCAUCGAAUCUUUGAACGCACAUUGCGCCCCCUGGUAUUCCGGGGGGCAUGCCUGUUCGAGCGUCAUUUCACCACUCAAGCCUCGCUUGGUAUUGGGCAACGCGGUCCGCCGCGUGCCUCAAAUCGACCGGCUGGGUCUUCUGUCCCCUAAGCGUUGUGGAAACUAUUCGCUAAAGGGUGUUCGGGAGGCUACGCCGUAAAACAACCCCAUUUCUAAGGUUGACCUCGGAUCAGGUAGGGAUACCCGCUGAACUUAAGCAUAUCAAUAAGCGGAGGA